CCCCUCUCAAAGUCGCACCUGGAGAGUUUCUAGUACUCUACCAGUCUCGACUAUGGGAGGGAGAGUCAAGAAGAAGCAUUCCCAUUCCAUUCCUAGCUUGGGCAGUGGUUAGCGAGUGGAACGCAAUCUGCUACUUGU